rnacentral:misc_RNA from 1 species
CUGCGCUUGCCGAGCUGCUCUCUGGCGCUCGCCCAUGGCCACGCCUGCCCCUGCUCGCGUCCUUCAGCUCCAGCGCUCCCUCGGCUCGCCUGGCCGGAGCGCCCUGCGCUCUGCUCGCCCAUCCUCCGCUCCUAUCUCCAUGGCCGUGGUGCUUCUCCAUGGCUGUCGUCGCCCAAAUCCAGAACCUUGCCGAGUUCGUCCUCCACUCGGCUCAUGGCGCUUGGCCUCAGCUCGGCCUUACCUCCUGGCUAUUGUAUACCGCUCUGCUGGUGGCUGCCGUCAACCUGGAGCACCGCCUCGAGCACCCGUUGCCCCGCGCUCUGUUCUCCCGGCGAGUCGCGCCCAGGCUGCACUGAGCCCUUCCCUGGUCGCCUGCUGGCCUGCUACCGCGUCCCUGGCUCUAGCUCUGUUGCCGCGCACGCUCCCUGCUCGGUGUCCCUCUCCACUCGUCUGGGUACUCCUUCGCUGCUCGUCGUGCACGUGCUGGCCAACGUUCGGUGUCUGGCUCGCCGCGCGCCCAGCUUCUUGCGCGCCAUGGCGGCCGUCGUCGUGUUUUCCUGCGCGUGGCGUUCCUCCAGCUCGCCCAUGGAUGCGCGCUCCAUUUUCCCCAACCGCGCAUCCCUCUGUUGGCCAGAGUUCCCUGGUCCGACCCCGUGCUGUGCUCGCCUCGGCCGGCCAUGUUGGCCGCGCAGACUUCCUGGCCGCGGGCAGUUCUGGCCUAUGCCGCCAUCGCGCCCGGGAUUUUGGUGCGCGUCCCUGCUUCCCGAUAGCGCCGACCGCCGUCGUUCUCUGCCUGUGACCUCCGGCCGUGUUGGUCGUGGUUGCUAUCUUCAGCUCACCGGCAUGCUGCUAGGACUCGCGUGCGCCAUGGCUCUGAUUGCCACGCUCUCGCGCCUCCCUGGGCUCCUUUUGUCGUGUCCAGUUCUAGUCACGGUUAUCUGCUGA